CAAUAAGCACUCCGCNUGGGGAGUACGACCGCAAGGUUGAAACUCAAAGGAAUUGACGGGGGCCCGCACAAGCGGUGGAGCAUGUGGUUUAAUUNGAAGCAACGCGAAGANCCUUACCAGNUCUUGACAUCCCGAUGNUNUUNUUAGAGAUAGGAAGUUACUUCGGUACAUCGGAGACAGGUGGUGCAUGGUUGUCGUCAGCUCGUGUNNUGAGAUGUUGGGUUAAGUCCCGCAACGAGCGCAACCCUUAUUGUUAGUUGCCAUCAUUAAGUUGGGCACUCUAGCGAGACUGCCGGUAAUAAACCGGAGGAAGGUGGGGAUGACGUCAAAUCAUCAUGCCCCUUAUGACCUGGGCUACACACGUGCUACAAUGGUCGGUACAACGAGUUGCGAGCCGGUGACGGCAAGCUGAUCUCUGAAAGCCGAUCUCAGUUCGGAUUGGAGGCUGCAACUCGCCUCCAUGAAGUCGGAAUCGCUAGUAAUCGCGGAUCAGCACGCCGCGGUGAAUACGUUCCCGGGCCUUGUACACACCGCCCGUCACACCACGAGAGUUUGUAACACCCGAAGUCGGUGAGGUAACC
rnacentral:rRNA from 1 species